AUUUGGCCGACGAGUCCCAAAUAGGACGAAACGCGCAUCCUGGAU
rnacentral:hammerhead_ribozyme from 1 species